GGCACCUAAAAGCGUUUUCUUGUAGGUCAACUUAAUGCUCUUGAAAAUCGUAGCUGUGUGCCAGAUUAAAUCUAAGUUGCAAGUGACUUUUUGAGUUUUUAAUAUUGAAAGUCCAUAACGCUGGGAACAGAA
rnacentral:snoRNA from 13 species